AAAAUCCUUUUCAAAAGCCCUAGAGAAUCUCUUCAUGGGCUUAGGUUUUUGAGUGGUAAACAGAAAGGAUUAGAAGAGGAAGAGGCAUGAAGAAAAAGUUGUGUUUUAUGAUAAAAGUUUAUUUCUUCACUGCUGGAGUUCAGUGCAAUGGUUUUCAGCACUCGUGGUUUUUUGGUUAAUCAUGUGGCAUGGAAAUUAUGUCAUACGUUGCAACAAAGAGUACAUCUUCAGACAGUUGGGAAGCUAUCUUGAGGUCAGCUGUGAGGAAUGUUUUAACAAUUCCAAUUCGUGUCCAUAAAUUCGUGUCCAUAAAUUCAUGUGCAUAAAGAAUAAUUCUGUUUGAAUCCUGUCUGCCUCUGGGCCCUGCACUGGCAGUUUAAUUCUUGAACCACAGAUGCAGUGUGCCCCAGUCUCCCCCUCAUUCCAGUCAAUUUAUCACGACUUCAGAAAACACUCCUUAAAUUUAUGAACCUGUUUGCUUUUGUUAUUCCUGACUUCUAGUUCUAACAGUUACAGCCUUUUUUCCUGUCUUCUUCGAGAUUAAUUUAACACUGCUAUAGAUGUGUCUGUGAAUGGCUGGGGAAGAAUGUUUUAAUUACUCGUGAAGCGUCAAAUAAGAAAGCUGUUUGUGUUUGAUGUCUGGGAGUUUCAGAACAACUGAUAACAACUAGUGACUGUUAUGGGAUACUAUGAGGAUCCUUGGUAUCUGGCCAGGGGGGCCAAGAGAUUAAGAGGAAGAAAAAAGAAGCUGAAGGACGGUUGGGAGACAAGACCUGUGGAGAGUGUACAGAGAGUGUUCCAUAAACUUGGAAUAGUGCCAAGUAAGGCCAAGAGAUUAAGAGGAAGAAAAAAGAAGCUGAAGGACGGUUGGGAGACAAGACCUGUGGAGAGUGUACAGAGAGUGUUCCAUAAACUUGGAAUAGUGCCAAGUAAGUACAAAGGGUGAGAGGAAGACUACGAGCCUUCAGCAUGAAAGACCCCUAGAGACCCCCAGAGGAGACUGAUGCGCAUGCUCCAGUAGGAGGAACUGGACCCCGGAAGCUAAUUUUAAUAAUCUCUUUUUUUAGAAGUAGUAAUGAAUAUGUAUUAGUCUAGGUGCAUAAAAAUCAGCUGCUUGAUGUAACUGGUGUGCGUCCUGGUGGAGCAGAGACUCCCGGUGCACCCAGCGCUGUUUGCUUACCUCUAUUCCUUUAUAUUCUUUUAAUAAAUCCUAUUUUUUUAUUUAAUCCUAAUUUGAA
rnacentral:lncRNA from 1 species